CACUUGUUACGCCAGACUAGCGGACAAAAAUCAUGAAGGGACCAACAUAUCACAAUCAGGCCAAAGCAAUGACCUGGAAACAGACAUCGACACAAAGUGGAGCUGGAGCUGGAGCUGGGCACGGAUUCGUCGUCAAGCCUGCGCCACCGUCGUCCGUCGCGCCAUGGCUGCCUCCGUGCUUAGCCACCAAGGCCUCCACCGCGGCCCCGCCUCGGAUUUGCCGUCAGCACCCACCGCGUCGGCUCGACCUCAUCACGUCAUGAGGCGCCACCGCGCCAUGGCUGCCUGCGUGCUUCAACGCCAUGGCUGACUGCGCACUUCGACGCCGCGGCCUCCUCCU
rnacentral:lncRNA from 1 species